GCUGAGCAUGGUGGUGCAUGCCUGUAAUCCCAGCUACAUGGGAGGCUGAGGCAGGAGAAUCGCUUGAACCCAGGAGGUGGAGGUUGCAGUGAGCCAAGAUCGUGGCCACUGCACUCCAGCUUGGGUGACAGAGUGAGACUCUGUCUAAA
rfam:Gorilla gorilla gorilla genomic chromosome, chr12, whole genome shotgun sequence